UGCUGGGCGAAGCUGCUCACCUGGACACCACAGGCGUGGAUGCUGACCACGGCCUGUCCGCCUGACGCCAGCCUUGGCUUCCAGGUCAUCAGUCUUCAGCUUCCGGGUCAUCAGCCCACACACCUCCGGAAACACUUUAAGCCGGGUCCCCAGAGAUGAAAAUGAAGAUAAUACACAAAAUUAAAAUAAUGCAGCUAAAAAGUGAAAUAAGCUCACAUCUACACGAAACCAAUGAGUUGUCAUCAAACUAACGAGAAAUACGGCUGAAUGAUGGUGACAGCCAUUCUGGAGGCAUCCUUUCCGGUAGGGUUGGUGGAGCACACGUGAGGAAUACUUUGAGCUCCAGAAGAGUUGAGCUUCAAAGGGAUUGGGUUCCAAUAGCACCAGAUCCUUGUAUUUUAUUUUUAAAAAUAGCUAAAAUACAGUAUUUUGAAAUAGAUAUAAAGGUACUCCAGCCUAUGCAAUCCCUAUGUAUGAUUCAGUUGAAACAGUCUCCUAAAAGGCUGUGACAAUUUUCAGGAAAAAGUUGCCUUUAGAGGGUUCCAGAAAACCUAACCCCAGUUCGCUCAAACUACCAAGUCGUCCUGUCUCUGAGAUUCAGUUUAGGAAUGUUUUUUUCUAGGAAUAUUCCAGUCAUCAAGGUAUGUGCCUGAGUGUGGUGGUUAUGCAACUGGGGAGGCAGAGUGGGUUUGUGGAGAAGACAGGGUAGAAAUUUAUAGAUUUCCCCUCUCCUACAAGUUCUCUGAUAGAUCUGUAAGUUUCAGAUGCCCAGGUGAGCAUAAACGCCAGACCUUCAGAUCAUUACACUCUGAAGCAGGGACCAAAAGCUGCAUUGCCCGUGGGAGCUGCAGUCUGUGUUUGCCCUAUUUUCUUUUUUUCGCCUCUCACAUCUCUGACAGCUUAACUUGGCAGAGUUCAUGAAUAAGAGCACCAAGCUGAUUACUUUGCAUUUUCCUGUCACAGAAAUGUUGUCUGUGCAGUCACUUGGAAAAAAUGAAUGUAAAUUCCACAAAGGAUCAAGUUCUUGCUUAGGAAGCUUUUUGCAAACUCAUUAAAUUGAUGGCUUUUGGAGAGGGACCAAGGAGAGAAGCCAUGAUGGGGAAAAAUUGUCAAGAAAGUGCUCAGUGUAAUCUGCUUUCUAGAAUAAGGUUUAUACUGUGUAUAAUGACCAAUGGGGAAAAUAUACAUAAGGCUUGGAGAAAUGUAGUAGCAGGAACUGUUAAACUAAAAUUAUAACAUGCAGAAAAGGAGGGAGGGAGGAAGAAAGUAAGUUAAAAUGCGUUUGACAAAACGCGAGCUAAGUCAACUUCAGUCAUGUCCGACUCUUUGCAGUCCUAUGAACUGUAGCCUACCAGGCUCCUCUGUCCAUGCGAUUCUCCAGGCAAGAAUACUGGAGUGGGUUGCCAUGCUCUCCUCCAAAGCAUCCUCCUGGUCCAGGGAUCGAACUUGUAUCUCUUACCUCUCCUACAUUGAGAGGUGGGUUCUUUACCAUUAGGGCCACCUGGGAAGCCCUUUGCCAGUUAGCCACAUACAUUAAUGUAUAUUCUUAGAAAUACAAACUCUGCCAAAUACUCAAAGCAGAAAGGUACUGAGAACUAUUAUGGGUCCACCCUUUUGCAUGUAAAACAUAAACCAUUGUGGUCAAGCAGGCAGAGCUGAAAAAUUAAGGGAAGCACUCAAAAAUGUCAGAAGAAUUUAUCUCUCAAGAGGCUUAUUUCAGAUUACAAAAGGUCUAAGCCAGGGAGCAGCAAGGCCAUUUAUAAAGAUGUUCUCCAUAGGAAAUGAAAAGGAUGCGCUUUCUUCAGUUUCAGGCAGAAUGUGGAGUAAAACUGAUCCUGAAUGGUACAUUUCCCUUUAGCUUUUUAUUCUGUCUGAGUAUCAGCAGAAGUUUAACAUAUAAAGGUCCAUGAUGGGCCAUCAAAAUAAGAUACGUGCAUGUGUCCCAGGCGCGCACUGGCCCUAGGAGGUGCAAGGCGUGUAAAGGGGAGCAGUGCGCUGUUGUUGAACGUGGCUUUGUAGUGAUGUUUCUGAGAGCCACCAGAUGUCAGCAUCCGACAACUCUCUGAAAGAGGCUCUGGCUUCCUUUUUUAUUUUUCUCUGCGACAGACUUUCUGUUCAGCCAUUUUCUCCAACCAGAGAGACAGUGAAUGAGAAAUUGUAUAACAUUUAAAAUAACGCAGAUAAAAAUGGAUGAAGAUCAGCAAUUCAUUGGAUAUAACUGUUUUCCAGUCCUAAAGUUAUGAUAUGUUGCUAAGUCACUUCAGUCGUGUCCAACUCUGUGUGACCCAUAGACAGCAGCCCACCAGGCUCCUCUGUCCACGGGAUUUUCUAGGCAAGAAUACUGGAGUGAGUUGCCGUUUCCUUCUCCUAUGAUAUGUUAAGCAAAGUUAUUAGUAAAACUAUCAGCGUGCAUGUGAGUGUGUAUAAUGUACAUUGCCGUGGUAUGAGAAAGAACCACUUCAAACAGUCUUACCCCCUUAAGCUCUUAACACAUGCUUUCCAUCUGCUGCAUCAAGGGGAAAAUGAGGAUAUCUGAUUGUUUCUUUCCUGUUUUCACUCUUUUGUAAAUUUAGCCCUUUCUACAUUUUUGUGUGGUUAUUUUUAGAUCUCUCAACAUUUUUGCAGAGCUAGUACUAUCUUGAAGGCUAGAAAAGUCUCUUGCUGAUCACAUGUGCAAGGUAAAAUCAGUGAAUUUGUGAAUGAAUCAAUGUAAGGAAUUAAUUAAUUCAUCCUAGGGAAAUAAUUUAAAGAGCAAGUCACGUCUCUUAAGCCAGACCAUGAGUUUUGAAGAAGCUGUGUUGGAGAAUCCGAAUCAUUAAGUUUCCUUCGACUACAGGUAUUCUGAGUCUGCAGAUGACAACUAAGGAUUUACCAUUUGCCUUUCCCCUUAUGCCACUUCCUCUAAGCACCUGACUUUGGGGAGAGGAGAGCCAGAGACAGGAAGUUUCUGUGUUUCUCAACUGUGAAAGAUAUAAUCAAGUGAGACCCAUCAAAGUCCUCUGCUCACAGUCGACAAACGAAUAUUAUACAAAGUCUAUGUAUGUGCAGGCGGCUGUUUUGGAGAAAGGGGGGCACAGGAC
ensembl:lncRNA